GGUGUAAACACUUUUAUUCUCGGUAUUCUCGGUUGUAACAAACAAUUAUAUAACAUAACAAAAAUGUAUUUAAGUUUGAGAUAUUCCGGUUUUAUUGAUAUUGAUUCUAGUUAUAUAAUAGUAUUAUUUUAUUAUAUUCGGAUUUUUUUUUUAAAAGUUUAUAUUUUUAUCAUGGCAUCUUACGGUUAUUUUUGACGAAUAGAUAAUCUUAGUAUUUUGAAAAACGUCCAUUUUUAUAUAUUUUGAAACAGCGGUGCUAAGACCGUCUUAAAAAUUAUUAUUUUAUAUACUUAAUUACUUACUCAUACUUAUAAUAUAAUAUGUAAGUAUUUUUUGUUUCGUGCGUCCGAACAUAGCAUUUUAAAAUUAAACGUUUGAUGGACAAAAAACAAAGGUAAAACACGUAACACGAUUUAAAAACAGCAUAGAAAAUCGACAAGAGUAUACAGAGUAAUAGGUGUAUAUUAAAAUACUACAAUAGAAAGGUAUACAAAGGGAAGUUAAAUUUACGUCAAAGGAAUAAUAUUUCGUUUUGAAAUUGAAUUACUUACAUAUUAUUAUUUUAUAGUACCAUCGUUUAUAUUAUAUCUUUGGGUAUUAUUGGGUACUAUAUAAAUAACUGGUACAAAAACGUAGCGUUCAUAGUUAUCGAAUACCAUCAGCUAGGUACAACCAUAUUAUAAUAUCAUUUGCAGUGAGGUACUUUAAUAAAUUUAUCAAAUUAUCUAUAUCAAUUAUAAGUAGUACUUAUUAUAUUAUUAUAGGUGAUGAGAACGCACACCAAAAUAUAUUUUAUAGGUACCUAUAAUAAUAUUAUUAUUAUUUAUUUAUUAAUUUUUUUACAUCAGUUAUGUAUUUAGAAAAAC